rnacentral:rRNA from 1 species
CCUACGGGUGGCAGCAGUGAGGAAUAUUGGUCAAUGGACGGAAGUCUGAACCAGCCAUGCCGCGUGAAGGAAGACGGCUCUAUGAGUUGUAAACUGCUUUUGUACAAGGGUAAACCUGAAUACGUGUAUUCAGCUGAAAGUACUGUACGAAUAAGGAUCGGCUAACUCCGUGCCAGCAGCCGCGGUAAUACGGAGGGUCCAAGCGUUAUCCGGAUUUAUUGGGUUUAAAGGGUGCGUAGGCGGAUUGAUAAGUUAGAGGUGAAAUGUCCGGGCUUAACCCGGGAAGUGCAUCUAAUACUGGUGAUCUAGAGAAGAGAUGCGGUAGGCGGAAUGCAUGGUGUAGCGGUGAAAUGCUUAGAGAUCAUACAGAACACCGAUUGCGAAGGCAGCUUACCAAUCUAUAACUGACGUUGAGGCACGAAAGCGUGGGGAGCAAACAGGAUUAGAUACCCGGGUAGUC